UCGCAGCUGUAGCAUCUGUUGAAGGGGUGGUUUCUCUUGCAAGGGUAUUGUGAGGUGCCAAGCGAUGGAACUGUUCAGGGUCGCAUCGGAGGAACAUUCAAUUCACUCCUGCUGCCUGCCGUAUGCGGGACCGCCACUAGAUAGGCAGCGAGCUGGAAGCCGAUUUACUUCCAGGAUUGUUUUUCUGGGGCAAUGAAGAAAUUUCCCUAAGUUAGCUUUAGUGUACGACGCGUGUCAACGCGACUGCAAUCCAACGGCAACAACCACGAACAAAAUGCCCAGCGCGACAAAAACACAUGCACGUAAUAGUCAACCUUGUAACUAAAGAUUAUUGAUCUCUCACAUUGAUAAUUAUUGGUGGAUCGCUUCAAUUGGAGUUUCGUAUUUAGCCCUCAGAGGUGAAUUUCUUAGAUUUGUUAAAGACGAACUACAGCGAAAGCAUUUGCCAACGAUGUUUUCAUUAGUCAAGA
rnacentral:ncRNA from 1 species